UACGUAGGGGGCGAGCGUUGUCCGGAAUCAUUGGGCGUAAAGCGCGUGUAGGCGGCCCGGUAAGUCCGCUGUGAAAGUCCAGGGCUCAACCCUGGAAAGCCGGUGGAUACUGUCGGGCUAGAGUCCGGAAGAGGCGAGUGGAAUUCCUGGUGUAGCGGUGGAAUGCGCAGAUAUCAGGAGGAACACCGAUGGCGAAGGCAGCUCGCUGGGACGGUACUGACGCUGAGGCGCGAAAGCGUGGGGAGCGAACAGG
rnacentral:rRNA from 1 species